GACGGAGGGUGCAAGCGUUGUUCGGAAUUACUGGGCGUAAAGGGCGCGUAGGCGGUCUGUUAAGUUCGGUGUGAAAGCCCUCGGCUUACCCGGGGAACUGCGCCGGAAACCGACAGACUCGAGUACCGGAGAGGAGGGUGGAAUUCCUGGUGUAGCGGUGAAAUGCGUAGAUAUCAGGAGGAACACCGGUGGCGAAGGCGGCGCUCUGGACCGAGACUGACGCUGAGGCGCGAAAGCGUGGGGAGCAAACAGG
rnacentral:rRNA from 1 species